UGUUUUGGCGCAAGCUGCUUUCAUUUCAGGGUUUAGGGUGAAAAUGCGUCAAGGAAAUGAUAAUUUUUUUUUAAAAAAACACAGAGUCGACCAGGCCAAAUGUGCUUGAACAAAUAUUUGGCUCACCAGAAUGGGCAGAGGCUGUGUCGUCGAAUCUGGUCAAGACCAAGUAAGCUGAGUUUUGACCAAUGAGGAAAUCAAGAAUCAUUGGGGUGGGGCAGAAAGGUGCAGUCAAGGCUCCCAUCGGAUGGCUGAGGAGGCUAGAGAGGCCAAAUGGCCUACUUCUAACUCAUCGGAGGAUUGGUGGCAGCAGACUACCUCAAACAGCUGGAGGGAGAAGGCAGGAGAAUGAGGUUGAGAAACAUGUCAGCCAUGAUCGAAUGCUGGAGAGACUUGAUGGCCUUACAACAGCUAAAGGGGCACUGUCUUCACAGUGAUGGAGAAUGAAAUGCAUUCUCCACUCACUGCUGGGCCCAGCCAAGAAAAACAAGUCAGCCUGUCCUGUGAGGCCAUAGUCUGUGUCAGACGGCAGCAGACAGGAAAACAAGCCCUGGGCUAUUUGCCCCAUGCACAGGGACUUUGGUAUUCUGCAAAAAACGUUGCUAUUCCGAAUUCCGAAUCCAAGCCCAAUCUUAAUUCCAGCUUCAAAUUCCAAUGCAACAUCAUCGGUUCCCAAAUUGGUUGCUGAUCGCUUCGGGAUUGUCCGAGAGUUUCCAGGAAUUACUCUCUCGGAUGAUGUGUCGUUCAACCCAUGAAAUUUUUAUUGGAGUGGUAAUAAAUGAAUUUGCAUUCUU